UGGCUCAGUCAUUAAGUACUUGACUCUCAGUUUCAGCUCAGGUCAUGAUCUCACAGUUUGGCUUUGAGCUCUGCUCUGAAGGUGGAGCCUGCUUGGAAUUCUAUCUCCCUCUCUCUCUGCCGUUCCCUGCUAGUGUGUGAGUUUGCACACAUAUGCUCUGUCUCUCAAAUAUGAAACUUAAAAAUAUAUACAAAUUAGGGGCACCUGGGUAUCUUAAGUAUUUGACACUUGGUUUCAGGUCAGCUCGUGAUCUGAGUUUGGGUUUGAGCUCUGCUCUGUGAACGUGAAGGGUACUUAAAAUUCUCUCUCUGACCUUCCCUGCUCGUGUGCGUACGUGCAUGCUCUCGCUCGCGCGCUCUCUCUCUCUCUCAAUAAGGAAAAGGAUAAAUCAGUUUUAGCAGGUGAGACCUAGGCAUGCGGGGUGUUCCAGGUGAUUCCAAUGUGUAGCCGGGGUUGAAACUAGCUGUAUGAAGGACAUUUUGGGGCAGCCCAGGGAGGAAACAUGGGGACAGCACUUAUGACGCCUGGAUUCCAAGCCUCUCAUUGUGGGACCAACGGGGAUCCCCAUCUUCAGGGGCACGGUUUCCAAGACUCUGAUGUGGGUGGCCAAGGUGGUAGGAAGCACCACUGUUUAUGACUAUCGUUCCCAAAGUGUGGUCCUAGCAUCAUCUGGGAACUUGAUAGAAAUGCACAUUUUGAGCCCAACCCCGGACCUGCUGAAUCAAACUCUGAGCGGGGCCCAGGAGUCUGUAUUUUAACAAGCCCUCCACGUGAGUCUGUGUGUGGACAUUUGAGAACGGUUUGGUCCAGGUGAAGGUGGUCACGUGGGACAAAGUCAGGUGGACCCGCGUCUUCACUCAGCACCUCCGCCCUCCCUUUGUAGCUGGGAAACCACUCUAAGCCUCAGUUUCCUGAUCUGUAAAAUGCGACUGUGAGGAUUAUGAUAUUGAUGGCCCCCAGUCUGGCCACAGGGCCUGCGGGGCACAGAACAAGGCAGGAGGGACGGAGCUCUUCAUAGGAGGGCAAGAAGAGACACAGGGAAGGGACUGCUUCCAGCUGCCCUGCCCCAACCCCCUCCUCUCUGCCCCCCCCACCCCCUUCUUGAGCCUGCCUGGCCAGUGGAUCUAUGGGUAAGAAUUCAUGGAAACAGCAGGCAGGGAGAGGGGGAGGGGCAGAGAGGGAGUAGAGGUUUGCUUUAUUAAAUCUCAAUUUAGAGUAGUGACUCUGACAUCUGUAAUGUGUGCUGGAAAUGGGCUGUUUGUCCUCUUUACCAAGAAUGAGCUGCUGGCCCCUCUGCAGAUAGGGCAAGCUGAUUUAAGGGUUUGGUUACUAGUCAUUAACCCCUCGACACAGAGGUUAGUUACAGUGCUGAGGGCUGCGGGGCACUGAUGCUAAAUCAGCAAUGAAGGGGAGUCCUUUCCAAAAUGAUCUCGUGUUCACUAAGCACAGAACCAGGUACAUGAAGGGAAUGAAAACCUGUAUAAACAUUCUGUUUGCCAUAGCUGUGAAGGAGCACAAGUGUGGAAAGCAAGGUCCCUAGCUCAAGGCCUCCCCUCCCCCUCCUCGUAAGCCCAUUUCCCUGGUGGAGGGGAACAGGUGGCGCUAAGCACGUGAGUCCCCCAGGUGUGUGUGGGGAGGCGUGUAACCGGCACUCAGCACCUCGAUCCAGUUUAAUUAGCAAACACGCCUUCGUGCCCACUAGCGUGUGGCCUGAGACGGGCAAUGGGGAAACAGGGGAGAAAGACCCCUGCAUCCUCCCUCGGGGAGCCUGGUGGGGAGACAGGCCUGCUGUGAAGGGAAGAGAAUAGCCUCGUGGCCAGGCUUAGAGCAGAGUAAGAGCAGGUCAAAGUGCCGGAGGGGCCAGAGCUGGAGUGAUUUACUCCGUCUGGGGCUAGUUGGUGAGUGAGGAGUUUCGAGAAGAGCCGAGGAGAGCGUAGUUUUCCCAGACAAGUGACAGGGGUGAAGGACUGCUGUCAGAAGGGCAGGACAAGCCAAGUCAGAGGCUCGGCACUACCUUGCCAUGUUGGGUGAAAGUGGGGUCCCUACGGGGGUGGGGAGAGAAGGCCAGACGAGCAGCUCGGGGCUGAAGAGUUCAGACAGCACACGUGAGCUCUGACUUCAGGUUAACUGUCCCUCCACUUGUGAGCGCCUAUGAGGAAUUCUCAGAGUGGUUUGGGUCAGAACCAUCCAGGGUGCCCGGAAAGUGAGCUGGGGUAGAGGUGACACGGCCACCUCUGCAGGCUUGUUUGGAGGAGGUCGCUCAUGAGGCCGUGGGGAGAAAAGCGAGCUUUGGACUAGGGUGUUGUGUUGGAAUAUCAGACUGAGUAGAGACGACUAAGCAAUGCCCGUUUUCUGCCCCCCACUGUGCACCUGAGCAGGACAGCCAGGCAAACAGCUGCUCAGCACGAUUUCUGGGCUUGGAAAGUUUGACUUAGAUCCACAGCUUGUGUGUCUCAUUCUGGGCCUUGUACCCACAGGGGUGAGGAAGGGGCAGCCAUCUCUCCACCAUGGUCUAUGAGGCUGUUUGCAGACCAGUCAACCCAGUCAGCAACCUGAACCCCUCACCUAGCUCUGCCUUCUCUUCCUGUGUCAUUCUGAGCUCCUGGUGUCGCCUGGCCUCCGUGUUUCCCCUGUCAGCCCCUCUGUCCCAGGAGAGAGCCAGGCAGCAGGGGUCAUCCUGGGCUUCCCACAUGGAAACCUAGCAGGAACGGAUUACCAGUGAGAGCAGAGACAAACCGGAGGAGGCCGCUGCAGGAUUCUUGAUGCUAGGAACUUUAUCUGCUAUCUUGCAACAGCAUUUUGCCUCACUCGGACCAUAAUGGUAGGCCUAUUUCAGUUGGCUGGUCAGGGUACUCCAUUGCCCUGGUUCUAGAAUGGACAUGUUGAUCAGUCUGGGCCAAUAAAAGUCCUCCCUCAGAUUUUCUAUUUGUGGGAUCAUGCUGGAAGGCUCUAGGCCCCGAGCUACUGUUGCUUUCUUCCUCAGGUAAAUCAGGGAAGUCCCUUCCCCUUGAAAAUAGAGACUAAGGUUACAUAUGAAGGGAACCAUAGCCAGAAUAGGAGGAGGGCAGGCAGGAGGGAGAGAGAGAAGAGGAGGAGGAGGAGAGGGGAAGGGAAGGGAAGAGUACAGCAAGCUUCAUUCCUGCCCCUGGAUCCAGCCCUGCCUGAGGUUGGAGACAGACGUGGACUUGUCCGUUAGAGGAGAUAAAAACUUUUUUGCAUUUGAGUUCGGUCUUUGUCAUUUGCAAUUAAGAGUCUUGAUUAAUCUAGAAUACCCAGGAGACCUUUCAAGAACCCCAAAGGGGAUGAACCAAAAGGAUCAAAUCACAGUGGUCUUUAGCUACUGGGUGAAUGUAAGUGGCAUGUUUUAUUAUAAAGCAAGGCACCUGUUUUAAUAAUUACUGAAGUUCAUGAAUUUAUGGUUGUUUUUUUUUUUUUUUUUAACAAGAUAAAGAUCCCCCUCAUGUGCAUGCCAGUAUGCUUUCUUUAGUGGGUGAAAAGCUAGUGGGCCUGGAGGUUCACAUAGCCUUAGUAAGCACCUAGGAGUGGGCUGAGCAUCUGAAUAUUACCUAUCAUGUAAGUAUAAGAGAAGCUGAGAAUUUCAGAGGAAGCCCAAGUUAUAGGAAAAUAAGAUUGGUGUGGACCAGGAUGAGACUAGGAACAGGUGCCCUGGACUGGGAUCACUGCCUGAGCUGUCUUUUUCUGCAGCCUCCUGUGUCUGGGGAGCAGUGCUUGCUAAUUGCCCUGACCUGGACCUUAGCUGCUCAUCCGGGUCCUGCUUCCCCUCCCUCGUUCCUCCCGCUCUCUGCCUGUGCAUUUCACAACAAGGUGAGAGGGUGCAGGGCCAGGGACUGGGGCAGGCAGUUGUGAAGAGGUGGGAGGGGAGCGGGGGUCAUCGCACUUGGCCUACAAUGAGCUGGAGAGACACAGAUGAGGCAGCUCUGUGGCUAAGACAUGGAUCCAUAAACUCUUACUGCUGAGGCCCCUGGAGCUGUCCCCAUUCCUGCCACCCCUACCCUGGUCAAACUUCCUUUUGAGUCUAUGUAGUGAAUUACCCAGGUUUUCUAUAAUUGCAUCCACCCUUCAUUAAAAAAAAUUUUUUUUUAACGUUUAUUCAUUUUUGAGACGGAGAGCAUGAAUGGGGGAAGGUCAGAGAGAGAGGGAGACACAGAAUCUGAAACACGCUCCAGGCUCUGAGCUGUCAGCACAGAGACCAACGUGGGCUCGAACUCACGGACCGUGAGAUCAUGACCUGAGCCGAAGUCGGACGCCCAACCAACUGAGCCACCCAGGCGCCCCCCACCCUUCAUUUUUAACCAAAGCUGCCCACGUUUGUUUCAGUUGUUGCUGUUGAUAAUAACCCCCUCCCCUUGCAUGAGCAAACAGCUCAUUUGUUCAUCAGGACAUUCGCUAUCUUCAAGAAAUUUCAAACACCUGCUGACUGUUGGGUCCCGUUUUGGUCCCUAUUUUGGAAGGUACUGCUCAGAGUCCUUCAUAGCUGUGUCUGCUUGUCUGAUACAAGCUGUGUCUACCCACUGACAAACAGCUAAAAUGGAGCAUAUCAUGUGCACUUAGGAAAAUGCCCUGGCAUUCUUCAUUUCCAAAACACAACCGUCUGCCAACUCACUAUCAGCUGGUGACAGUCAAUGCAUGCUCUUCAACCACUUGAACAGAUUGACUCACUGCUCUGUCCUAUGAAACUCCUCCUGUGUUCCCCUCCCGACAGAGCUAUUACAUGUCCCUGCAUUGAUAGUGUCAGAAUUGGCCACAUGCCUUUAACGAAUGGGAGUGGGAGAGACCUGCUCCAUUUCCAAUCAAAAGCUUUAAGAGCAAUCGUGAUCUACCACAUCUCUCUUCACCCUCUGCCAUCGGACUGACAGCAUCCCAGAUGGGGGCUGCUGCUUCGGUCCCAGAAAAAGGAGAGGUGACACAGCUGGAGCUAAACCAUGAUGACCACAGAGCAUGAGCAGGAAAUAAACAUUUCUUGUAAGUCACUGAGAUUUGGGGACCAUCAGCCUAAGCUGAAUGAUAAAUUGAUACUAUUGGAGGGGUGCUCUAAAAUAUGGGACACUGACUUUGGGGCCAGAAAGUGGGCAGUGAGGAACCAUCCCCGGAAGCUGGAAAGAUGGCGUCCUCUUUUAUGCAGGGGUGAGACAUCUGGUAUAACUGUUGCCUGUAGUAACUUGGUGGACUGUGCUUUUGAUGAAGAGCAUGCCUGUGUUCCUAUUGGCUGCUUUUGACAAGGCUGCAAAAGGGGAGAUCAGGUCAGCAAAGACUUGGACAUGUAGCACGACCGAGAAAUGUUUGUUAUUGUAAGCCACUGGGAUUUCGAGGUCAUGUGUUACUGGAGCAUAACGAAGCCCGAACUGACCAACACGACGAUUGUGCUAUGCUCCCUCAGCAAAUAAUCACACAAAAAUAGAAUCACAGAAUGUGAUGCAGGAUCUUCAAACAACAAAGGACUUCAAAAUAGAUACCAAGAAAACUUGAUCUAGUGGAGGGAGGGGAAGGAGUUGACUCAAGAAAGAUUGACUCUGGAUCGGAACUGCCUAAUUUGAGUGCCCCCCCUCAUUGUUCACUAGCUGUGUGACUACAGACCAUGUAUUUGGCCCAUUCAUUCUUUCAAUUUACUCAUCUGUAAAAGCAGGUGAUAACGGUACCUGUCGCACAGAGUUGUUGGGGGAAUUGUAUGGACUGAGCACUGGUUAGUGUUAGCCAUUAGUAAUGUUUUGUAACCUUUCUCCCAUUGGGUUACCAGUUUCCUGAGGGCAGGAACCAUGCUGGUCUUGCUCAUUAUUGUAUCUAUUGUCCAAACUGCUGUUUGAUAUAUGACCUAUACUCAAAACAUAUUAGCUGAUUGAAUGUGUUAAACUAUUCCAGGGACCUUGAACUCCAGGUGAGAAAUCAUCCAGGCUUCCUCCCUAGUACCUGUUUCAUGUCACUCAAAGACUCCUCUAAGCUCUCUGUUCCGUUUUAGACCAGCACCUUGGACAACACCUUCCAUAUAACCUGUGGAUUAAUAGUUUAGACAGAAUGGGAUUCUCUCUCUCUAGGACAAGAUUCUCAAUAUUUGCUCCCAGGACACCAUCUGUGCCACACCUAAUUCUUACCUGGACCCAUGAGCAGUGAUGGGGGUGGAGGGGCAGAGAGCUCAAUCAUUUGAUGGCACACCACAACUGUUAUCCUGCACUGAAUUAAGAAGAGUUUAGAAUAUUCCCAGGGAGGAGGGGUUGGGGGAAGAGAGAGUGUAUGUGUGUGUUUGACCGAGAUUUUAACACGUGAAGUCAAUGAUGGUCUGGACUCACCAGCAAUCUCCGUGAUCAGGAAGACGGGGGACAGAGCAUGGAAACAAAACCUGCCCAUUAAGACCCAGUAGGGAGAAGUCCGCUCAAAGAUAUAGAGCUCAUGUGGAUGAAACCUUGGUGCCUGAUUCUGAUUUGCAAAUGUAAAUCUCUCUUGUGCCUGCUCCAACACUAUCUGCAUCUCUACCUCCCUCUGCCCUGAGAAGAGUAUGACCUACUUUACUGGGGAACAAAGGUCCAGCUCACGUCUUUACUGGAUGUCACAGACCUCAGACAGCAGUGCCAGAUAGAUUGCACUAUGAUAAGGUAUUAGGAAACUGAGGCCAUUUGGGGGGAGAUUUCUCACUACACCUCAAGACAGGUGCUCAAUCAAUAUUUUUGGAUAAAUGAGCAAAUGAAUGAAAUAACAGUGAAUUUGAAAAGCCAUUGUUCUAUAUUAGAAGAAUGGCCACAGUUUUCCCCAUUCUUGCAUGCAGACUCUGCCCUGUGAGGCUGGGCUUGGCCUUGUGACUUACUUUGGAAAAUGACAAAAUUUUCACAGCAAAUGUGAUGCAAGCAGAGACUCCUACAGGGAUGCUUGCCCUUUCUUGGUGCUCUUAGAAACCCCUGUCACUGCCAUCAUGUGAAGCAGCCUGGAUCAUCCUUUUGGAUGAUGAAACACACACGCUCCAGACACUCCCUCCUUCCAGCUGACAGUCAGCCAACCUCUGGAGGCCGACUCAACUAGCUGACCAGCAUUUGGCCACAGAUGCCUGAUUGAGCCCAGCUGAAACCAUCAGAAGGCAGGGCCAGCCCACCCCACCCCACCCAGCUCAAAUUGUUGACCUUCAGAGUCUUGAGCUAAAUAGAUGGAUGUAUCUUUUAGUUUAAAUUUUUAUUUUUUGAGAGCAUGCAUAUGUGUGCCAUGUACAAGCAGGAGAGGGGCGGAGGGAGAGAAUCUUAAGCAAGCCCCAUGCUUAGCACAGAGCCCGAUGCAGGCUCCGUCUCAUAAUCAUGACCUGGGCUGGAAUCGAGAGUUAGACAUUCAACCGACUGAGCCAACCAGGUGCUCCUAAAUGGAUGUAUCUUAAGCCACUAAAUUUUGGGGGGUAGUUUUCUAGGCAGCAAAAAUGAUACAGGUAGCUCCUUUCACAGGCAUGUUUGUUAAAUAUAUGGCACAGAGUGUAGGUACUCAGCAAACUGCUGUUACUUUUUCCUCCUGAUUAAUGAAAAUAAUUAUACUAAUGAUAUUAUUUAAUGACCUCUAUGUCAGUGAAGCUAAAUGCUUCACAGAUACUUCUUCCAUCCUCAAAAUAACCCUGGAUAAGUGGAAUAUUAUCAUCUCCUUUUUUAGGUGUGAAAACUGAAUUAGACGGAGGUAAAUGAAUGCAGAGCAGGUAGCAAAGCUGGUAACUGGACUCGGGUCACCUGGCCCCCAAACUCAGCUCCCAAGCACUACAAUACCCUGCUUCUUACUAAAGGAGGAAAGGAAGGUUCCAUUCUACCCCUUCCCACCUGCGGCCCCCACUCCUGAAGUGCUCUUCCUGCUCUGCUUUUGUUUGUGCACAUCCUACUCUUUGUCUGAGGUCCAGGUGCGGCUCCUCCUCCAGGAAGUCCUCCCUGACCUCUCCAGGUCACCAUGACCCAGCCCUUUUUCUCCUUGGCAGCUGGGACUCUGAUCCCUUCCAGUGGCAGAGGGGAAAGCUCCAGGAAGCCCUGCUGAUCCUGGGCUGAUGUGACCGGGAUGGGGUUCGUUCACCAUGAGAGCCUUAGGGGAGGGUACUUUGUGGGGCCCAAGGUGACUGCCGUAGCUGCAUACAAGGAGAUGGGGCUCCCCAAUCUGAUUCUGCCAUCCCUUUCCUUCCAGCCACCCUCUUAAACAUCUGGUUUAACUUUUGGUGUCUUCGUGGGGCUUUCUCGUCCUCUCUCAACCCCUAAUAUGCUCUGUGCUUCUUUCUUGGCCAAUCUUCCUUUGCUUCCCCCUGACUCUUAAACCUUCCCCAAAUGCCUACAGAACACCCAGUAUCUUUCAAGGUCAGUCCUUUCCAGCCAAAAAGGACUUGUCCUUUCUCUACCCACACAUGGCUUUUCCCGAAGGCUAAUGCUACUCUUGUGGGCUUUGACUCUGCUGCUUCUCCCAUCAGGGACACGAGGCGGAGCUGGCAGUCUCCUCUCCCUGCAGCAGCGCCCCUUCUCCACCCCAGCCCUCCAUCCCGUACACAAACCUUCCCUCCUUAGGCCUCAGCCAUCAGACCCCACUUAUGCGCUGCCCGCUUUGUGCUUCUCACCCAAGUGCUUCCCAGGCAGUCCUCUGCUACCCUCCCGCCGCUGCCAUCCCACUGGGCAGCUCCUCAGACGAUGAACGGCCCCACCUGCACUGGGACCUCAGCCACGGGGAGGGCCACCUGUACUGCGCUUCAGUCACUCACACCCGGGGACCCUGGCUCUCAGUGCCUGGAACUGUUGUCCCCUGAGAUCUUCCCCUCCUCUGCCCUAUGUUCCCCCAACCACCUGUCAUCUUGAUUACUCAUUCUCUCCCUUCCCGAAUGCCUGCUCAUCAAUCUGACACCUUUGGAACAAGAACCCUUUUUUUUUUUCUUUCCUCCCCUACCUUCAUUUCCCUCCCAGCCUCUCCACAUUCCUGAAAGGCUGCACCCACAUUCCUUCAACUAUCCCCUUGCCAGCACCUUCCAGUCUUUCGUUCCUUAUUCCUUCUGCCUUUGACACCCUGUGAGCCCCACCUCUGCAGCUGAGUCGCCUUCUCCACACCCUCUCCCGGGAUACUGGGCACACCCACGAAAAAUCAUGGCACGGGGCACAUGAGACCCUCCACAGACUCAUGGUUUUCAACCUCAGCUGGGCCCCUGCACACCGCCCUCCACGCUAGGCCUUCUGGUGUGCCUCUGAGCCACCCCCCUCCGCGGGGUUUUCUAUACCUUCUCUACUCUCGAAUACAAGCAGAGCCCCCAUGCUUGACUUGCAAGACAGCCUGCAAACUCAUUCCUCUUGGACAAACGUCCAUCCUACCCUUGAAGUCCAGGGCCAGCCCACUGGCCUUGGACCCCAUCCUCUCCUGUCCUUGCUCUUUCCCCACCCAAGAAUGUUGCUUCAUUCUCUCCCCAUAUGAGCCCUCUUUCUCUACGGACUUCCUCCUCUCAGCCUCAGACACGCUCCCAUAUUGCUUCCCUUAAGCAAAUCAGAAUACACAUGUUCUCUCAACAUCUCACCCCUCUUGGUAGCCAGCUUCUUUUUCUUUCCAUCUCUUCAUAGCAAACUGAGGGGGAAAGGCAUUUACACUUGCUCCUGGUCCUCACUUGCCUCCCUGGAUGAAGCCCUCUACCCACCAUAUCCUCCUGGACAUAUCAUGACCACCUAGCUGUGAGGGCUGAAACACUCCUAUAGCAUCAACCGUCCUCAUUCUUCACAGCAACUGCUAUAUAGUGACUGCGGAUUUACAGUGUACCAGGCGUCGGGCUGAGAGCCUUAUGUAUUUCUCCACCUAAUCCUCACAAAACCUCUAUCAGAUGGAUGUCUGUAACUCCAUUUUACAGAAGAAUCAGGCUUCGGGUGAAGGCUGCACCGAAGCUUAGGAGCACUGCAGAGUUCACCAUCCCUCUGUGCGGUGCCAACAUCUGUGCACGAACAUCCCCGGCGGUGCCCCACUGUGUGCCCGCACCCCCACCCUGAGCUGAUGCUUCGGGCUCCGAGUGCAACCGCCAAAAGGGAAACAGAGAUGGGUGGUUUCCGAAAGCAGGUGCCAAACCGGCUGCGCUCCCCCACCCAGCAUGGGGACAAGCUCCAGGCUGAUAGCCCCUGGACGCGCCUAAGGUUAUCUGCGAUGGAGCCUUGUGAUGGGUCUGUGCCCUGGGGAAGCAUCUAAAGCCCAAGAGAGGCAGUACCAGGAAAGAAAGCAGCACCGGUGGUCAGCAUGCCCUUCCCAGGUUCAAGCCUCUUCCUCUGCCCCGGGAGAGGUGUGAUAUAAUUGCACCUCCCAUCGUGUUCUGGGCCCUAGGAGCCUGCAUCUACCACUCACGGUGGUGGGGACUUGGGUACAUCUUUAUGUCUUUGAGCCAACAUCUUUGAAGUGGGAAUAAGGUGGCAAUGGGGCUUUAAGAUGAAAUGACACCUGGAAGGUAUCUAGGGAGACUUAAUACAUAGCAAUCACAUAUAUAUGACGUGUCUUUUAUAUAGAAAUACAUAUAUAUAAAUACAAUGUGUAUUAAUCAAACCAGUAACAUAACCUCCUAUAGUUAAGUAGUUUUUACUGUGAACUAGGUUUCAAGUUAGAUAUUCCAGGUAAAGAGAAAUUAAGUAUCCUGUCCCAGGUGACACAACUUCUAAGUGCAGAGUCAGGAUUCAUGCACAAGUAGCCCCCACACGGCCCAGGACCGGCUAGUUACUGUCCUUUAGUAGGGCUGUAUGGAAGAAAUGAGAUCGCAGGCUGGAUUGAAAACCAUGCAUUCACUCCUCACUGAGGAGCAGACAGAGUGCAGUGAGUUCUUGAGCCCCGGGACGCAGGCAGGAUACAUUAGACACCAGGUCUCCAUGGAUGCUUCUAGGGCUGUAAGGAUGAAGGGAGCCACUCCAGCCCUGGGGGUUCGGGGUCGGCGUGGGAUGGCUGGGAUGACUGCAGAUGCCGGCCCUCCCCAUCCCAGCCUUGAGUGUCCCACUUUUGCACACUCGGAGAGGCCACCCUCGGGUGUGAUCUAGCACCUGCAGGCAUGUUCUAUGCACGGGGUCAGAAGCUGUCAUGCACAGGCCAUCAGAGUGUCACCAGUCAUUCCGCCAGAAGUACCACUUACUCUGCCUCCUGUGGAAAUGACGGCCCUGGAAUAUGAGAUGCCACAGCUCAGGGGCCAAUAAACCUCUGAUGAGGCCCUGCAUCGUGCAGACCUGGAGGCGUCCGCCUAAGUUGCAAGGCUGGUUGAGGCUCCCCUCAAACUGGAACCCAGUUAGGGCACUGUGCCAACAUUUGUCAGCUGGUACCUGGGCAGCAAAGCCACACACUGGGAGGUGCGCGGGGCGCACUUUUAUCCUAGCAGAGCCAGGGGGUAAACUCAAGAAAGCUUUUCAAAACCUCACAGCCAUUCAGUGCCAGCCAUUCUGAUGUCCUGAUAAAUAAAAAUCAUACAGAAGUGGAGAAACCUUCCAAAGGUCACAGAGAAGCGGCUGGUGAUUUAAAUUCUUGCCGCGCAAAGUAAGACUCUUCAGUUGUCUCUGAGGUGUUACUUGGGAGAUCUGGGGGAUGUGUGCACAGUCCAUGAGAGGCCUCUAAUGUCCCCCAGGAGCGUCCACCAGGGCGGGAGACCUGGCUCCGUUACAGCCCCACAUGGGAGUGGCACGUGUGUAUGCACGUACAGCCAAGUUAGAACUUUAAAAAAUGAAGAAGAAAUUCCAAAAAAAUCUAAAAACGCAAAGGCACCAAAGUCCAUCUAGAAUGCCACACUUUUCUUUUAUGAAACCUACUACCCGAUCUAACGUGAAAGCUGUCUCUGGGUAAAAAUAGAAUACUUCUUUAAACUCUAAUCUUUAUAUUUCUGAGUCAAAAAGCACUUCCUGAAGCACAACGUGGCGGUGUAAGUAUUUCCAAAGCUUUAGAGGGAGUUAAAGAUCCUUUCAUCUUUCGUCUACAGCCAGGAAUUCACAUUCCUGUAGGAAACGCACUGUUUUCCCUGGGCCUUUUGUAGCCUAGAAGAUGGAGGCAGCAAAGAACAGGAGAAGCCCCCAGACCCUGUCCUGUGCUAUCCGUCCUUUGACGGGCUGAUGAGAAGGUGAUCAGGGGCGGCAGGCUGCAUCGUAUGAACUGUGACGAUCCCAGUGCCUGGCUUCCUGUCCGCGCUGGGACCCCUCCAGAUGUGGGGCCUGGGAAAAGGGCCUUUGCCACUCCCAAUUCGUGGCAUAAAGUGUAAUGCUCCGUGCAUGUUUCUUGAAUGAGCAAAUGAAUGAAUGAGUGAAGGAGUGAUUGAUCGAAUAAAUACGGAGUCUGUGGGGAGACCCUAUUGUUGUAUUUUUCCCAGCAGAAGAAAUUUUCCAGGCUGUUACACUAAUUAGGGCUAAUAUUCUCAGUUAUUUUGAGGAUAGCUUGAAAUUUGCUGCUAAUUUAAAUAAAAUGGUUACGUUUACUCAUUAACCAAUUAGCAUGCUUCCCAGCAGCUUCACCUCACUAAUUUGAUUAGUUACACUAUGCUUUCUCCUACCCAGAGCUGAGAACAUCACAACUAUAUCAGAGUAAACUUUUUAAAAAACACGGAAGCAGAAUCUCUCACAGGGUUUAAACACGGAUGUGAACCCAGUCCCUCUUUCCAGCUCACCGUGUCCCCACUAGAAGUUGCUCUAUGUUACCGUUCCUAUCACUAGACUAAUUGGUUUUUCAAGGAAAACAACUUUCCAAACUAUGGGGACUUCCUGAAACGCAACCUGUCUCCUAUGUUUGAAGAACGAAUGAUCGAAGCUGGAGGAGAAACUGGAAGCCAAAAUACAGGCCCCCUUCCUAGCCCUGUUUGUCAGUGACCUGCAGUACAUACGGGCUCAGGCUAGCCUGCUCAUAUCAUUUUCCUGUUUUCUUAUUUGUCAGAGGUGGAAGUGAUUUAGCAAAUAUCUAAGUUUCUGUGGCAGAGACCGGCUUCCUGGGCACGCAGAAAACCCUAGCUUCCCACACCCUCGGUAGUUAGCUGGCAGGGCUGUGUGACUGGCUCUGGUGAAUCAGACGUGAGAGGAAGUAAGGUGAGGCAUUUUUCAUCUGAGGUGUGAAAAUCAGAGUUCCAGGCACACUCUUCCCCUCUGAGGGGGGGUUGUGGGUGGAACUGUGUCCCUCAAAAGUUCGUAUGUUGAAGUCCUAAUCCCCCACCCCCCAGUAUCGCAGAAUGGGACCUUCUUUGGAAAUAGUCAUUGCAGAUGUAACUAGUUAAGUCAGGAUGAGGUCACACGGGAGUAGGGUGGCCCCUAAUCCAGUAUGGCUGGCAUCCUUACGACAAGGGACAGAGACCUGGGAGAACCCCACACGAAGGUGGUAUGCUACCACAAACAGCGUUCUUGGUAGCCAAGAACUACCAGAAGCUAGGAGAGAGGCCCGAAACAUCCUUUCCUGGUGCCUUCAGAGGGAGCACAGCUCUGCCAACACCUUGGUCUUGGACGUCUAGCUUCCAGAACUGUGAGACGAUAUAUUUCUGUUGUUUAAGCCACCCAGGCCGUGGUCCACUGUGAUGACUGCCUUAGGAAAUAAUCUAGGGGAAAGGCCACGUGGUCAGACAGCACAUCCACAAGGGAUGUCACUAAUGGCCUGAAGAGGCACUCUGCCUUUAGCCAGCUUUGUGAACAGAGUAAGAGAAAUGUCUAAAACCUGGAAAUAAGGCAACACGGGAGAGGAAACGGUCUGUCCUUUCAAUAUCCUACUGGGGCAUGAACAAGCCCACCCAAGGGUAUGCAAUUUUCCAGGAGAAUGUACCUGUGUUUGACUUUGUUAUUUACCUUUUGACUGGUACCCAAACACUAAGAAGUUAAAUGGUAACUUCCAGAUUUGUCUAGUAAAGAUCACACUAAAGGCUACGAUUUUAUUUCCCUAUAGGACAUUGACUGCUUUUGUAUCUAAUCUAGCAAUCUUAUUCUAACCUUCUUUUUUAGAAAAUGCCUAGAGGUCCUGAGCUCCUCAAAUGCUCUCCAGAAUUGCUUAACCUUCUUACUGGCUCCCUGAUUAAGGAAUUAAAUAAGUUUUUGUCACAUGUUCAUUUUGAUUUUAAGAAUCAUGUUUUACUUUUUUGAAUUGACAAAAUAAACUUGUUUGAUUAAUGGCAA